GCACUCAUUUCAGCAGAACAUACACUAAAAUUGGAAUAAUCCCAAGAUUAGCAUGGCCCCUGCACAAGGAUGACGUGCAAAUUCAUGAAGCAUUCCAUAUUUUU